rnacentral:lncRNA from 1 species
UAAACCCAAGGCCCAAGUCCCUAGGAUUAAAUUUCAAUCCAAGCUCAACCAGAAAUCCCACUGUGCUCUACCCGCGCAGCUGAAUCGGCUCAGUCCCAGAUAGAGUCGACUAACCUAAUACUUAGUUGACUCAGUUUUGCAUUGAGCCGACUAACUUAUGUACCGUACCAAAUUUUUUUAAGAACCCUAUUCUUGAUUUUUCUGCAACU